rnacentral:misc_RNA from 1 species
AAAAAAAAAAACAAAAAAAAAAAAGGAAAAUAUUACAUGUAGGGUGGUCCCUGGAUCAUCUCCAAUCAAACUAGUGCAAGAAAUAAUGUUGUCAAUGGCUCCCACCACUGCACAAACAAACUAGAUUCACAAGAGUUGAGUACAUGACAUCAAGAGGUAAAUACCCCAAGAACUUCCUAUAUUCAGAUGCUCCAUCUGUAAUGUUCAUAUGAAGUUUCUUCUCCUCUCGCAAAACCAUCUUCCGUUGCUAACCACCACGGCACGCACCCUUCAGCAUCUUCGGGGACCACACGUGCCACCAGGCUCAGUACUUCACCCUGCCCUAACUCAAAUGACAAGCAUAGAAAGUCACAGCUUGCUUUUAUUUGCACCUUAAGAGCUUCCUCAUGAAGCCAGUGAAUAAACUGGCUGGCAACCUAUAACCAAUGUCCAGGACAAGAUAUUAAAACAUGAGGAUUUACACAUGGAUAAGUAAAUGAUUAUUACACUAUCACUCCUAAACCUCAAAAAGUAACUAUCAACAGGAGGAGCAGCUUCCUCAGAAGACUGGGUAGCAACAGGAGGAAGAUUUAUGGAGGCAAAUAGAGUUGCUUAGCUUGAAAGUUAAAAUUUAAAAUGGAUUUUCUCUUUAAAAAAAAAAAAUUGAAAGAUGAGUGUAACCGCCUAGGAACUGGAGGAGGCAGAAUUUGAGAUAACCAAUUAUAUCCGCCCCCAGAAUCUUCCAGUUUGCUGCAAUCUAUCAGCUUGUCAGUAAAAGACGAAAUGACAAGAUUGUUGAAGACAGCAGUAUUCUCAGUUAUAAAAAUGAGUAAUUAAAAAGAUGAUAUAUAGUGUCCUAAUACUGUCAAAAUGAGCAAAUGGAGAUUAUGAGAUGGUCUACUAAAGACCCAUAUACUGAAUUCAAUACUAAAGUAAACAGGGCAGGCAUACCUGAUUAAAGCACCAUAAAAUCUUGCUUCCCUUGCAACUUGCUGUUCCAAGGCUUUGGCAGACUGCUUAAAAUAUAUACCAAGAUACUGUAAGAAAUAAGAGUAAUAAAUAAUAAGACGCUUGACAGAAAGAAUAUGUAAGAAUAUCAGAACAAAAGAGCCCUGAAAAAAAAUAUGCUUUACAAUAACAAGUUCUAUUUAGCAAUCCUAUAGAUGUAUUGGCCCAAUUUACAUUACAUAGAAUGAAUUAUAAUGACAAUGAAUGCACCAAAGCACCUGCACACCUCCGUCCCCAACCAGAAAAGGAAAAGAGCAAGAGACAGAGUAAUGUACCCAAUAGCAUUGUAGCUUUGUUGCUGUAGACACAGCAAGGUCAGCUAGAUGCUCACUGAGCAAGCUUUGGCCCGGUCAUGACUGUUAGAGCAUCAUUAGCUUCCACCUACACAUAAUAAAUCCAAAACAAAAUCACAUGGAACCAAUUCAAAUUCAUCAGAAAGGAAUCAUCAUAAUCAUUUCUUUAGCAAAAAAGCUCAUGAAUACAAAAUGUCUGAAUAAAACAAAAGCGGAUCACUAAAUUUGAAAGAAAAGAAUAAAACAUGUAUUUGGAUAUUUC